UUUCCGUAGGUCGCUAGAGUUCAGCCUACCAAAGCAAACCUUUCAAAACUGCUAGUCUCUCCCCGAGGCGACACGCUCAAUGUUGCGGAGAGGCCCUCUUUUCAGAGGGUAAUCCGCAGCCGGCCCCCUAAAGGCUGGUUCAGAGACUCAAUGAGUGUGGGUUUGGCCUUUUGGCCAGGCUUAAGAUAGAGCCCGUCCCUGUAGGCAACUGCGGGGGAUGAACGGAACCUGCGGAAGGAUCAUUAAAGAAUCGGUGACCCUCGCGGUCCCAUUCUCACCCUUUGUAUACCGAACUUCAGUUGCUUUGGCUGGCCUUCGCGGGCCGGCCAGAGGACUCAAACCCUUGAAUCUUUGCUGUCUGAGUACUAUAUAAUAGUUAAAACUUUCAACAACGGAUCUCUUGGUUCUG
rnacentral:misc_RNA from 1 species